AUUGAACGCUGGCGGCAGGCCUAACACAUGCAAGUCGAACGGUAACAGGAAGAAGCUUGCUUCUUUGCUGACGAGUGGCGGACGGGUGAGUAAUGUCUGGGAAACUGCCUGAAGGAGGGGGAUAACUACUGGAAACGGUAGCUAAUACCGCAUAAUGUCGCAAGACCAAAGAGGGGGACCUUCGGGCCUCUUGCCAUCGGAUGUGCCCAGAUGGGAUUAGCUAGUAGGUGGGGUAACGGCUCACCUAGGCGACGAUCCCUAGCUGGUCUGAGAGGAUGACCAGCCACACUGGAACUGAGACACGGUCCAGACUCCUACGGGAGGCAGCAGUGGGGAAUAUUGCACAAUGGGCGCAAGCCUGAUGCAGCUAUGCCGCGUGUAUGAAGAAGGCCUUCGGGUUGUAAAGUACUUUCAGCGGGGAGGAAGGGAGUAAAGUUAAUACCUUUGCUCAUUGACGUUACCCGCAGAAGAAGCACCGGCUAACUCCGUG
rnacentral:rRNA from 1 species